rnacentral:misc_RNA from 1 species
CACCUAAGCUUUGGCAUUUGUACUGCACGCCUUUCACCACCAUAUCAACUAGCCGGCGGCGUCGGUAAGAAGCCGCCGAGACUCAAUGCUGUUACCGGAGGAGCUAGUAGUGUUACCGGUGGAACAAGUAGUGUACCGACGAACUUCUCCGCCAGUAAAUGGGCGGAUCGUCUUCUCGCCGAUUUCCAAUUCCUUCCUUCCACCACCACCACCUCCGACUCAUCGGAUUUCCAGAAUUCAACUUCUACAACCUCUGUUACGACUAUUCCUCCUCCCGUUGCUCCUUCAGACCGCCACAUUUCAAUGCCUAUAGACUUUUAUAGAGUGCUUGGUGCUGAAGCUCACUUCCUCGGUGAUGGUAUCAGGAGAUGCUACGAUGCUAGAAUUACUAAGCCGCCGCAGUACGGGUACAGUCAAGAGGCAUUGAUUGGCCGACGACAGAUUCUUCAAGCUGCUUGUGAAACCCUUGCUGACUCUACCUCUCGUAGAGAAUACAAUCAAGGCCUCGCUCAGCAUGAGUUCGAUACUAUUCUAACUCCGGUCCCCUGGGAUAAAGUUCCGGGAGCAUUGUGUGUUUUGCAAGAAGCUGGUGAG